CUUCGUCCGGUGCACGAUGGAAGACGCCAACCCGAGCAAGAGGAAGAAGGCAGACUCCUCGACGGACACACAAGACUUGGAGGUCACGGAUAUCCAGGUGUCAGCCGAGUUCCAGUAAACGGACAAAGGAAAAAUAUCAGUGGCAAAAAGUAGAGAUGUGAAUAGACAGGAGUCUUCCAGCCAGCUGUAUCUGACUCUUCAGACCCAGAGUCGAGUGACCACAGUCAAGUUGUCUGGCCACGAGGCUACCGGAGGAGCAAGCCAAGCACCCAUGCAGUCAUUUGACGUGGCAGAGAGAGCAGGAAGGAGAAGAGGAUGGUGUGUCACGGUGGCAGCAGCAGUCUCCUCUCCAUCUUCUUCAAUUCACCUCCAAUGGAUCUGCCGCUCACAUCCAUGCACCAGUAUCCCUUAAUGAGCAUUCUGUUCUCCCACCCCGGUUAGAGUGGACUGGAUCCUUCCGCCAGCCACCUUAAUUCUUCCAUGCAGCUGGAGUCAGAGAGGUGCUGCUGCUCAGACACCACUGCCGAUGCUACUGUUGCAGCUCAUUGGUCGGUAGCAUAGAGGACACACCCCCACCCACCCACACUCUCUCGCUACCCAAUAAAGGACAGACUGGAUGUGGUGAUGCUCUUUGUCCUUCCCAGCAAUGCUGUCUAUCCAAACAUCAAAGGCAUGAGCCUCGUGAUCUACUUUUGGCAUGUGGGAGGCUCAUCAGUCCAUGGAAGAAGGUGCUGAAUGGAUGAUAGGACAGGAGAUCAGGGCUGUGCUCAGAUGUCAUACACAGAUCUAGAUUGCCAUCUUUAGUAUUAUUUGUUGAAAUUUGUAGGUUUAAACAACUUCAAUUUUCAUCUUACAAUUAAAUAGAUUGGUAUAAUUGAACGCGAGUGUAAUGGGGGAACAGAAAGGCUACAAUAGGUGUAGGCCUAAAAGAUGUCUACUAAUGUUAUGUCACUGUAAAGGAAUAACUGAGUGACUCGUUUUUUAAAUCUCUAAAAGUCUUGGAAUAAUUUUAAGCAAGGCUUAGCUUUCUUGUAAAUUGUGAAAAUAUUUAGCACCUGAAAUGUUGAAACCAUAGCUAUAAAAUACCUUUUAGCUCAUCAUGAUUAAAAAGAUAACAUUUUCAAAUCAUAUGUAUUUAGCAGCAUAGCCAUAAACUCUACAUCCACAAAAAUAAUAAUGCUCAGUUGGGGUGGUAAUUUAAAUGCAACAAUGUUGAUGAGUUGCAGUUUACAGUGGUGUUGAACUAGACCACGGGGGGUGGGGAGAAGAACCUUUUUCUGUAUGUUGCCCUCUGUAUGUUCAUUUGUAAGGCGCUUAUCCCAUGUAAAUCUAUGUUGCAACUUAAGUAUUUACACUUCACUGUAAGGCAACACAUUAUUUAUUUCAUCCAUUUAUUACAGAAUUAUAGAAUUAUAAAAUAAAGUAGUUUUUUAAUGUGCAGUAAAGGUAAUAAUGAAGCUCUUUGCCUGAAUAUUUUGAUGUUUGAAUUCAGCAUAUCUGCUAUAAAUGACAGCAACAUGUACUCUGUAUUGUAAUUAUGUUAUAACAGCUGAGAUUAAGUUAAGGUUGAUAAAUGAUACCUGUGAAUUCAAAGAACAGAGAAUAAUAAACUGCUGAAAGAGUU
ensembl:lncRNA